rnacentral:rRNA from 1 species
UACAGAGGGGGCAAGCGUUAUUCGGAAUUAUUGGGCGUAAAGGGCGCGUAGGCGGCUUGGCAAGUGGAUGGUGAAAUCCCUCGGCUUAACCGAGGAACUGCCGUCCAAACUGCUUCGCUUGAGACCGGGAGAGGUGAGUGGAAUUCCCAGUGUAGCGGUGAAAUGCGUAGAUAUUGGGAGGAACACCAGUGGCGAAGGCGGCUCACUGGACCGGUACUGACGCUGAUGCGCGAAAGCGUGGGGGAGCGAACAGG